rnacentral:rRNA from 1 species
GUGGGGAAUAUUGCACAAUGGGCGAAAGCCUGAUGCAGCGACGCCGCGUGAGCGAAGAAGUAUUUCGGUAUGUAAAGCUCUAUCAGCAGGGAAGAUAAUGACGGUACCUGACUAAGAAGCACCGGCUAAAUACGUGCCAGCAGCCGCGGUAAUACGUAUGGUGCAAGCGUUAUCCGGAUUUACUGGGUGUAAAGGGAGCGUAGACGGCUGUGUAAGUCUGAAGUGAAAGCCCGGGGCUCAACCCCGGGACUGCUUUGGAAACUAUGCAGCUAGAGUGUCGGAGAGGUAAGUGGAAUUCCCAGUGUAGCGGUGAAAUGCGUAGAUAUUGGGAGGAACACCAGUGGCGAAGGCGGCUUACUGGACGAUGACUGACGUUGAGGCUCGAAAGCGUGGGGAGCAAACAGGAUUAGAAACCCGAGUAGUCC